ensembl:lncRNA
AACACCCAUUCCUUGCAAUGGGACCAGAUUUCCCACUCCCAGUGUUACUAUGACCAUUUAGUGAGAGUAAAAGUCUUAUCAUACAUUAUGCCAUGUACCUAUAGCAUGUGCCAUAUGACAUAUUCUGUAUCAGAGGCUAGCGCUUAUGAAAUAUAUAUCUACACAUAUAUACAUAUCUCCCAUGUGUAAACCAGUAUAGUUGUGACAUGUGAUAAUAUUAGUGAACGUUACAGGACAGUUUUAUUAUCACGUUAUAAGGUCUUGUUUGUAAAUCUGUAACAUUCAAUAAACUAGCACAUGUUGCAUCAAGCAUUAAGUUCCACUUUCCAAUUAUUAGCAUACAUAUGGAAUAUGCAUUUCUGGUCACAGUGUGUAAGCUUGGUGUGUUUCACACAUUUUUCUGUAGCGUGAAAGAUGAACUGGCAUGUUAUGCAAAAGAUUAUAAGACAAAUGAACUUUAAUAUUUUGAAACUCAACUGAAUUUAGCUGUUUGUUUACAUAUGCUGGCCAACUGAGGAAGCAGUGUACAGUAUUUUAUAAAUAUUUUCCUAUAGUAAUCUGUUCUGUUGUUUCCAGUUUAAGUGAUGCUGUUCUACAGUUGGGGUAUACACUUGUCCUAGGUAUUGGAUAAAUAGCACAUUAUUCUUUCACAAUAACCUUGUGGUAUGACUGGAGUAGUUUCUCUUCGUUACAGUCCAGUCUUCUUUUGUGUCGAUGAAAAUGCAUGCAUUGUUCCAUGAGUUUCUUUGGACUGCUAUGAAACUUAGCAUUUUGCUAUUGCCUGCCUGUAAAGAUGAAUCCAGUUAGGAAUGAAUCCAAGCUUUUGGAUGUUUACAUUAUUUCCAUUACGUUUGAUCUUUAGCAAAGUAAGUGAUUUUUUUAUUAUUUUUAAAUGACAGUUGUAUUUUACGAAAUUGAAAUAUUCAACGUAAAAUGCGAACCUACAGCAGUCCUCAGACAUUUGGCUCUCUCUUUUUUGGAAGAGAUAAGGUGCUACAUUAUUGUUCUUAGCACAAGUGCCAGUUAAUAAAUGGCAGUGUGGGGAUAAUUUAAAAAUAUAAUCAACACCCAAAAUAUCCAUUCAUGCACAUAAGGAAAGCCCUCUGGGUUCCAGAUAUAGAUUGCUUUGUUUCAUUUUCCAUUUAUAGAUUUUU